rnacentral:rRNA from 1 species
UACGGGGGGGGCAAGCGUUGUUCGGAAUUACUGGGCGUAAAGGGCGCGUAGGCGGCCUGCUAAGUCGGACGUGAAAUCCCUCGGCUCAACCGAGGAACUGCGUCCGAUACUGGUGGGCUUGAAUCCGGGAGAGGGAUGUGGAAUUCCAGGUGUAGAGGUGAAAUUCGUAGAUAUUCGGUGGAACACCAGUGGCGAAGGCGACUCGCUGGACUGAUACUGACGCUGAGGUGCGAAAGCGUGGGGAGCAAACAGG